UUUGGUUAAGUUAGAAAGGGCGCACGGUGGAUGCCUUGACACUAGGAGUCGAUGAAGGACGGGACUAACGCCGAUAUGCUUCGGGGAGCUGUAAGUAAGCUUUGAUCCGAAGAUUUCCGAAUGGGGAAACCCACCAUACGUAAUGGUAUGGUAUCCUUAUCUGAAUACAUAGGGUAAGGAAGACAGACCCAGGGAACUGAAACAUCUAAGUACCUGGAGGAAGAGAAAGCAAAUGCGAUUUCCUGAGUAGCGGCGAGCGAAACGGAACAUAGCCCAAACCAAGAGGCUUGCCUCUUGGGGUUGUAGGACAUUCUAUACGGAGUUACAAAGGAACGAGGUAGACGAAGCGACCUGGAAAGGUCCGUCGUAGAGGGUAACAACCCCGUAGUCGAAACUUCGUUCUCUCUUGAAUGUAUCCUGAGUACGGCGGAACACGUGAAAUUCCGUCGGAAUCUGGGAGGACCAUCUCCCAAGGCUAAAUACUCCCUAGUGAUCGAUAGUGAACCAGUACCGUGAGGGAAAGGUGAAAAGCACCCCGGAAGGGGAGUGAAAGAGAUCCUGAAACCGUGUGCCUACAAAUAGUCAGAGCCCGUUAAUGGGUGAUGGCGUGCCUUUUGUAGAAUGAAC
rnacentral:rRNA from 1 species